UUACCUUGUAGAAUAGAAUUGAGGUAAUGAGCUUAGUCAUGUUUUUCUGUUCUUAUACUGCCUGUUAUUCUUUUCUUAAUCACAAAUAGCUGUAAAAAGCAUACCAGCAAAAGUUGAAACUCAUGAUCACCAAUUUAAAAGCAUAGCUGUUAUUAACAAGCUGUUUUAGUAAUUUACCUUCCAACACAUCAAAGUUUUUUAAUUAGAAAAUUACUAAUACAUGGUGAACAUUUGCCUUCUUACUUGGAUUCUGCAUCAUUGCAUAUCCUUUCAUUGAUGACCACAUCAUCUUGUAGGUUUCCUUGGAGUUGCAUGACUUUAAUAUGUUCUGGUUUCCCAUUGUUCGAACGGCAGUGGCAAUAUCAUUCCAUGUUGUUUUAUGUCAUAUACCCUUAUUUAGAAAUUAGAAUCUUUGCAAUUGCUAGAAACCAUGCAAUGACUUCUUGUAAUAUGUCCGUCUCACCAUAAAUGUCUAUAGCGAUUCUAAUUCUAAAUGAAAUCACUAGGGCCAGACGUAAUGAGACUCAGUUUUUCCUGGCAUCUUUGGAGUUGCCAUGCUGAGAUAUCUCAAAUGGAUUUCUGAGAUCAAACUGCCCUUCUUAUGUAGGAGGAGAUAUUUGUUAGAUUGUAUCUUAAUUGGUUUAUUCAGCUCUGUGUGGUUGCAUUUUCUUCUAAUUUAUUUAUUUAUUUAUUUUUAUACUUUUCCAAAAUGAGUAUGUUGAGGACUGGAGGAUACGCAUGAGAAAGGAGAUCUGGUGAAAAUCCAACAAAAAAGCAAGCAAAUCAUGGGGACUGUUGACGGAAUGAGGGGGAAAAUGCACACUGCUCCAAUGCCGCCGCCGCCGCCGGCUCAUCGUCAUAUUUCCGGUUCCGAUCGCCGAAUCAUCGAUAGCAAUGGCCCUGACCUUCGAGUUUACCAAGCUUGGAAAGGCAGCAAUAUAUUCUGCUUUGGAGGUAGACUUAUAUUUGGUCCAGAUGUGAGGUCUCUAUUCCUUACGGUGUUCAUGAUUGUGACUCCAGCAAUCUUGUUCUGCACUUUUGUUUCGCAUGAGCUCAUAAAUGAAUUUCAGCACCAUCUUGGCAAUCUUAUUGAAGUUAUAUGUGCCAUCUCCACAGCAUAUAUAAUGAUUCUUCUGUUGCUUACAUCUGCACGAGAUCCUGGCAUUAUUCCACGUAAUCAUCAUCCUCCUGAUGAAGAUGGCUCAAAUAUUUCGACAGAUUGGACAGCAAUUCAAGGUGGUGGUUCUAGUUUACCACCCAUGAAAGAUGUUUUGGUUAAGGGGAUAGUAGUCAAAGUCAAAUACUGCCAAACAUGCAUGCUAUAUCGCCCACCAAGAUGCUCUCAUUGCUCUAUAUGCAACAACUGUGUUGAGCGUUUUGAUCAUCAUUGCCCAUGGGUGGGGCAGUGUAUUGGGAAGAGAAAUUACAGAUUCUUCUUCAUGUUUGUCUCCUCCACAACCAUGCUCUGCCUCUACGUUUUUGCAUUUUGCUGGGUGAAUGUCAGGAAGAUAAUGGGUGCAUAUGAUUGUAAUCUCUGGAGGGCGUUUCUGAAGUCCCCCAUUUCAGGAAUUCUGAUAUUAUAUACAUUUGUAUGUGUUUGGUUUGUUGGAGGCCUCACUGCAUUUCAUCUGUAUUUGAUAUGCACCAAUCAGGUUCUGAUUUUCUCUUUACCUUUAUGCUGGCUGUUGUUCAAAAUGUUGUACCUCUUCAUUAUUGUAAGCCUUUUAUUAUUUAUGCAGACAACAUAUGAGAAUUUCCGGUAUCGGUACGAUGGAAAGACGAAUCCUUAUAACCUUGGUUAUGUGCGUAAUAUUAUAGAGGUUUUCUUCACAAAGAUUCCCAAAUCAAAGAACAGUUUCAGGGAAAAGAUCAAGGUGAACUCAUAUUCAAUUUAUGCCACUUCAAUGUCAUUGGGACAGUCUUUGAGCCCAGAGAUACCCAAAACUAGCUUUGAUGUAGAAGUGGGAAAACGGCAAGCUGUUGCUGAUGAGGAUUUUGAAGAAAUACAAAGCCAUAUUGACAAUGUUGGUGGAUUGGAGAGGUGUGGAACCCAACCAAGACACAUAAAUCGGGAUCAUAAAGCGAACUGGGAGAUAACACCUGAUAUACGUAUCUUGGCUGCUGAGCUUGAAUCAGGUCAUGGUUUAAGAGAUAGACAGAAAAUUUCUCGAGAUCAUUAGAGUUGCUGGUACUGUGUAAAUUAUGGGGGAGGAAAGCAUUCACAUCUCAAAGGUCAAAGCCAAUUUACAUUCUCUAAUUGGGCUGGUUGGAACUGGCCAUUGGCAUGCCAUUUAACUAUAAGGAUGAAAAGGAUGUUAUGUGCUUCAAGAGCAAAAGGAAAGGAAUGCUCGUGGUUGAUUAAGUGUGAGGGAUUAGAUAAUGUAAAUCAAACUGUCUUCAGGCUUCAGUGUUACUUUGGGAAUGUUGUGCUAUUAUGUGUUCGAUUUUCUGGAAAUUUAGUUGGUUGUUAAUAUUUGUCAGUUGAUUCGAUAAUUUUAGCAAUGUGCAGAUGGUACCAUUAGCCGCUUAUAGUAAACUAAUUCCUUACUGAUAAAAGAGAUACUUGCUUACUGUUUUGGACCGGUUGUGAAAUUUCAAAACUGCUUUUUGUAAUUUUUAAGUUUUGGUGGGGGCUGUUGUCUUUUCUUUUUCAUUCUUUUUUAUUUUCCUUGAUAUGAUUGGUUGAUAUUAAAAUAAUUUAUUCUUCUUUUCUUGAAGACCGAGAAGGGGAGAUUUACUCAAUUACGUUUUUUCUU
rnacentral:misc_RNA from 1 species